rnacentral:tRNA from 1 species
GGAUUGUGGCUCAGUGGUAGAGCACUUGCCUCACAUGCGUGGGGCACUGGGUUCAAGCCUCAGCACCA